rnacentral:lncRNA from 1 species
UUUUUUUUUUUUUUUUUUCCAUGACAUUCUUAACCCCAUUCUCAUUCAUCUGCCCACCACCACAGAGACUUUUUUUAAAGACACUUUUCCAGCCUCUCUUGCAGCUAGGGAUAGAGAAGUAACUCAGUUUUUGUCAACAACACAUAGAAGUCUUCUAGGAGGCAAGGCUCUUCUGGGAAAGAAAAAAAAAUUUCCUAGAAGAGAAAAGGAAACACAAGACAGAGGUUCUCGCUAGCUGCCUGGCCUCUAGCCCUCUCCCCAGUAUCCUGCCUUUAUACGGUUCUAUAAAGAAAGAAUGUCUAAAGCAGUGGUUUCCUAGAAUUAUUGCUUGAGUUGCUAUAAACAAAAAGGCAAUAUGAGAUAAUAUUCCUAAUCAUAUAGCUGCCAAAGGACUUAUAACCAGAAUAUAUAAAAGACUUCUACCACUCAAUAAUCAGAAGACAAACAACAUAAUAAAAAUGGGCAGAAAGUUUGGACAGGCUCUCCCCAAAGGGACAUACACAAAUAGCCAGUAAGUAGAUGACAAGGUAGUCAACCUCGAGGAAGUGAAAAUUCAAACUACAAUGAGGUAGAUCUCCACACAUAAUAAAAAGGUUAAAUUAAAAACAAUGAUAAUAUCAAGUGUUAGCAGGGAUGGAUAGCAACUAAAACUUUCAUACAUUCCAACCACUUUGGAAAAAUGUGUGGCAGUUUCUUACAAAGUUAGGCAUACACCAAUCCUUUGAUCAACCAGUCCCCACUUGUAGGUAUUCACUCAAGAGAAAUGAAACUAUGUUCACCCAAAGAUUUAUAUAGAAAUGUUCUCAGCAACUUUACUCAUAAUAGUCCAGAACUGGAAAUAAUCCAAAUGUCCAUCAACAGGAGAAUGGAUAAGCAAACUUAAGUAUGCUCAAACAAUGGGAUACUACUCAGCAAUAAAAAGGAUGAGCACUGGUAUUUGCAACAGCAUGGAUGACUCUCAAAGAUGUCACAUUUAGUGAAUGAGGCCAAACCCAAAAGCAUAUGUAUAAUACGACCCCAUGUAUACAAAGUUCAAAUUUAACAUAUGAUGACAGAAUAACAGGUGGCUCCCAUGGAGGGUUGAGGGUUGUUGGCUGGAAAAGGGUACAGGGAAGCUCAGGGAAGUUUUGGGGUCAUGAAUAUUCUUUAUCUUAAAUUGGAUUUGGAUUAUUCAUAAAUACACAUUUAUAAAGACUCAUCAAAUUGUACAUCAAGGUCUGCGUAUUUCCAUGUUUGUACCUUAGACCUUAAUAAAAGGUAAAUUUUAAAAAGCAAAAAAAAAAACAAAAAACAAAAAAAAAAGGAAAUGAGGCAAAUACCAAGUUCCAGGUGCUGGACAGUUACCUGUGACUCAAGAUGUAAAGAAACCACAUUAGCUGACUCGUGGUGCCUCUUUUUCCAUUUCGUCCUAUCCUAUCCCAUCCCUUUUCUUUUCUUUUUUUCAUUUUUAUGUCAGAGAAAGCAAAAGUGGUUAUAAAUUACUUGAAAAGUUUUGUUUUUUUUUCCCCUAUCAAUCUCCAAAAAUCUGAAGCGUUAACAAAUUCCAUGUUCUCUAACAUUUCAUGUCAGACUACAAGAAGAAAUAAAAAACAAGGUAUCGUGUUUUACAUUUAUUCCAAAUGAUUAUGUUUUUAAAUAGUUCUUCAGAUUGACAGUGUUUUACAUUUAUUGAAAAUUGAUUGUUUUUAAAUAGUUUUUUUAGACUGACAUCUGACUAAAUUUCCCUUAUAAACCAUACUAUAUUGCACUCCCUAAUUCAUACCAAAAAAUCAAUUUAGAAAAACUAGGAGCUCAGAAAAUCUAACCAUACAAGUAUUGACUGACUAGUUAGCACUUGGCUAGACACUUUUACAGAAUACCUAAUUCUACAAAGGAUGUAUUUUCUCCUCAAGACAUAAGACUAAAAUGGGCAAUUAAUAUUUUACAAAAUACAUUCUCAAAUAUGAUGUUUUACUAUUUUUUUCCUUUUUACAGCCACACUCCUUAUAAUGUAUGCUCUUUUAGGAGACUUUAAAUGAUUGUGUUUUAAGAUAAUUUUCAACAGGUAAGUGGUUAUUUUGCAGGGGGAGAGGGUCUAAAGAAUUCCUCAGACCACCAUUCUGCUUCCUUUUCUUAAUACCUUUAUUUUUAGGUUGGCUUUUUUUUUUAUUUCUGCCUGCUUUAGCUUUUUAAACUUCUACGCUACUCUCUGUAAGACUGGUUAUUUUGGGGGUUGGGGGGGGGCGCUGCACCUGUGGCAUAAGGAAGUUCCUGGGCUAGGGGUCAAAUAGGAGCUGCAGCUGCUGGCCUACACCACAGCCACAGUAACACAGAUCUGAGCUGCAUCUGUGACCUAUGCUGCAGCUUGAGGCAACACCGGAUCCAUCCCCUACUGAGCAAGGCCAGGGAUCAAACCCACAUCCUUACAGACAUGAUGUUGGUUCCUAACCUACUAAGCCACAACAGGAACUUCUGCUAUUUUACACAUCCAAAAAAAAAAAAUUUUUUUUUAAUCACUGAACUUGGAGUCAGAAAGAGACCUGGCAGAGUAUGCAGAACUUGAAUAUACCCAUACAAAACAGGCUUGACUUAAGGGAGAGAAGAUGAGGAAGAACGACGUGAGCAGAAAGAAUGGGACACACAAAAAACUUCAAUUUAGGAACAAAGACGAAAUACACAGGGUUGUGCAUAGUCUCCACUGGUUUAGGAAUCAUGGAAAAUUAAGCUGAAUAAGGACACAAGAGAAUCCCAGACUAUAGUGAAUCAUGAAGUUUAGGCAAUGAACUUGAGACCUGGAAACAGAGAGCCAAUGUAAAUGUUUUAGGAAAAUAAAAGAAGGGAUACAGAGAGGUUUUAGGAAACUUAUUCUAGCAAGAGUGUAGAAUGUAGAAUAGAAGGGAGGGUGGAGCGGAGAGGGAGUAAUUAGUGGGGAAAUCCAAAAGGAGGUUGAGCGCAAGGAGAUAAGGGCUGUGGGCCGGCGAGGAAAAAAAUAAUAAAAGGGAAAUGCAAGAGUUCAAAGAAAGACGCUAUAAUUAAAGGGUAAUCGUUCUCAAAGUAUUUUACUCUCAGAUUCUUUUAAACAUUGGAUCUGCUUCAUAAACGUACUCAUCAAACACUUAAGUGGUUAUUUUCAAAAGGCUGACGAACAGGGUAGGGACAGGUAAGCUUAACACAGUAGGUAGAAGACAGGUCAGAGAUGAAAGCAACUCAAGCCAAAACAAUAGCAAGUAAAUGAGAUGAUUUUUUUUUUUAAUUAAUAGCAGCUACAAUUUAUAGGGGCCCACUAGACUGGGCAUUCUGCAGACACCAUCUUCAUUCCUCAUAAUUCUGAAGAUAUCAUUAGUUCCAUUUUUUAUAAAUGGGAAAAUUGAGUCUCACAGAAUGUAGUAGUUAACCUGAAUAAGGGUGCAUCUUUAAAACUGGUGGGGCCAAUACUCCAACCGAUACUCAUUUAUGUAUGUUUAAAAACAUAUUAAUUGCAUAAGAUGGAGAUAUGCCUAUAUUUGGCACCUAGUCAAUCCCUGGCACACAGUAUGCCCUAAAUAAUAUCAAAAUUUUUAAAAAAUAAAAUCAAAAUGAUGCUGUAAUUAGGUACCAUUUUAGCAGAUCACUUACUUUUCUUUUCUUUUUUUUUUGUCUUUUCUGGGGCAAUACCUGCGGCAUAUGGAAGUUCCCAGGCUAGGGGUCUAAUCAGAGCUGUAGCCGUCAGCCUACACCACAGCCACAGCAACGUGAAAUCUGAGCCACGUCUGCAGCCUACACUACAGCUCAUGGCAACACCAGAUCCUUAACUCACUGAGCAAGGCCAGGGAUUGAACCUGCAACCUCAUGAUUCCUAGUCGGAUUCGUUAACAACUGAACCACGAUGGGAACUCCAGAAUCACUUACAUUUUUAAUAAGAGAUAAAACAUUUUUCAAGUUUAUAUGUAUUAGUUGUUUAAAAAAGAAAUCAAGACAGUAAAAAAUUCUCAAAAAACACUUAUUUUCUUACUGUAAUUUUCAGUAAAAAGCAGUUUAUUCCGAAGUGCCAAACAGUCAGUUUAAAAAUCCAUCUGGACCAAAAAGCUGGGAAAUGUGUUAAUACACAAAUAAAACAACGUUUCUAAAAGGGAGACACAAGCACUGCUGUUAUUAUUACUGCUACUAAUUCAAAAUCUGAUUUUGAUUUGGAGGAGCAGAAGCUAUGAGACAAGGAAGUAAAGUGGUGGGCAAAACAAAGAUGAGACAAAAGAUAAAUUAUUACUUUCUAAAUAAAAAAACUAACCUAGGAGUUCCCGUCGUGGCACAGCGGAAAUGAAUCCGACUAGGAACCACGAAGUUGUGGGUUCAAUCCCUGGCUUCGCUCAGUGGGUUAAGGAUCCAGCACUGCCAUGAGCUGUGGUGUAGGUCACAGACUCGGCUUGGAUCCUGAAUUGCUGUGGCUGUGGUGUAGGCCAGUAGCUACAGCUCCAACUGGACCCCUAGCCUGGGAACCUCCCCAUGCUGCGGGUGCGGCCCUAGAAAA